rnacentral:rRNA from 1 species
UACGGAGGGUGCAAGCGUUAUCCGGAUUCACUGGGUUUAAAGGGUGCGUAGGUGGGUUGGUAAGUCAGUGGUGAAAUCUCCGAGCUUAACUGGAGAGGUGCCAUUGAUACUGGGAUGCUUGAGUACUGAUGAGGUAGGCGGAAUGGACGGUGUAGCGGUGAAAUGCUUAGAUAUCGUCCAGAACACUGAUAGCGAAGGCAGCUUACUAAGGAGUAACUGACGCUGAGGCACGAAAGUGUGGGGAGCAAACAGG